GCGGAAGCCCCUUGCCGGAAGUGACGGUAAAGGUGAGGCGGGAUUUGAUUGGUCGGGGUGUUUGCCGUCGGCGGCCACGGCCGCCGCCUAGUUUCCUAUCCGUGAUUCAAAAUGUCUGGGGGGGAGGGUGAGGGGAGACACAAAGGUUGGGCUGUGCGGCGAGGAAUGGCCGGGCCCUUUUCUCACUUGCCGUUGGGCCGGCAGCAUUUCACGUAGAGAUCGUUUCUGGUAUGUGGAAUAUGGAAUCCAGACAUAAUCAGAGAUGGGAACUUCAUCCUAAUCAAUCCUCCCUGUUCCAGCUUCUGGACACAGAAUGGGAGGCUAGAGUGGCUGAAAAAAUUGCUUUUGCUGCAUCUCUGGGAUUGAGGAUUUAUUCAUAUUCCUCCAGCUGUCCACACGUCCGUCCCGACUCUCCUGGAUAUAAAGAUGAUGAGCAGGAAAACAGUGAAGAGCAACAAUGAGAACACAGCUUGCAUUUCCCAUCAAUAUCUACAGAAUAGGUUUCUGCAAGGAGCACAGGUGGCCAGAAGUAGGUGAAGGAGAAUUUGGGGGGGGGGGUGUCAAGGAAAAGCUCCUAACCUAAAUAUGCUUCCCCAGGGAAACUAAAAUAGUCAAUUAAGCCAUAAACAUUUAGAAGACCAAGGAAUGCUGAUAAGAUACUAGGAGGUAAGCAGAGCUCUGGGAAAACAACAGAAAGUAACUCCCUAGAGAGAAACUACUUUCAUGGAGUAGUGCCUCUUUAUUCUUUCAAAACACUGUUAUUUUUAUAGUCCUGCCACAUUACAGUUACAGUCUAACUGUCUCUCUUAUCUCACUAGACAGGCACGUGAUUUGUUAUAUCUAAUCAAAUAUCUUG